rnacentral:rRNA from 1 species
CACGUAGGGCGCAAGCGUUGUCCGGAAUUAUUGGGCGUAAAGAGCUCGUAGGCGGUUUGUCGCGUCUGCUGUGAAAACCCGAGGCUCAACCUCGGGCCUGCAGUGGGUACGGGCAAACUAGAGUGCGGUAGGGGAGAAUGGAAUUCCUGGUGUAGCGGUGGAAUGCGCAGAUAUCAAGAGGAACACCGAUGGCGAAGGCAGUUCUCUGGGCCGUAACUGACGCUGAGGAGCGAAAGCGUGGGGAGCGAACAGG